GCUGGCGGCACGCUUAACACAUGCAAGUCGAACGAGAGAAGAGAAGCUUGCUUUUCUGAUCUAGUGGCGGACGGGUGAGUAACACGUGAGCAAUCUGCCUUUCAGAGGGGGAUACCGAUUGGAAACGAUCGUUAAUACCGCAUAAUAUAAUUGAACCGCAUGAUUUGAUUAUCAAAGAUUUAUCGCUGAAAGAUGAGCUCGCGUCUGAUUAGCUAGUUGGUAAGGUAACGGCUUACCAAGGCGACGAUCAGUAGCCGGACUGAGAGGUUGAUCGGCCACAUUGGGACUGAGACACGGCCCAGACUCCUACGGGAGGCAGCAGUGGGGAAUAUUGCACAAUGGAGGAAACUCUGAUGCAGCGAUGCCGCGUGAGGGAAGAAGGUUUUAGGAUUGUAAACCUCUGUCUUCAGGGACGAAAAAAGACGGUACCUGAGGAGGAAGCUCCGGCUAACUACGUGCCAGCAGCCGCGGUAAUACGUAGGGAGCGAGCGUUGUCCGGAAUUACUGGGUGUAAAGGGAGCGUAGGCGGGAUCGCAAGUCAGAUGUGAAAACUAUGGGCUUAACCCAUAAACUGCAUUUGAAACUGUGGUUCUUGAGUGAAGUAGAGGUAAGCGGAAUUCCUAGUGUAGCGGUGAAAUGCGUAGAUAUUAGGAGGAACAUCAGUGGCGAAGGCGGCUUACUGGGCUUUAACUGACGCUGAGGCUCGAAAGCGUGCGGAGCAAACAGGAUUAGAUACCCUGGUAGUCCACGCCGUAAACGAUGAUUACUAGGUGUGGGGGGACUGACCCCUUUCGUGCCGCAGCAAACGCAAUAAGUAAUCCACCUGGGGAGUACGACCGCAAGGUUGAAACUCAAAGGAAUUGACGGGGGCCCGCACAAGCAGUGGAGUAUGUGGAUUAAUUCGAAGCAACGCGAAGAACCUUACCAGGUCUUGACAUCGUAUGCAUAGCUCAGAGAUGAGUGAAAUCUCUUCGGAGACAUAUAGACAGGUGGUGCAUGGUUGUCGUCAGCUCGUGUCGUGAGAUGUUGGGUUAAGUCCCGCAACGAGCGCAACCCUUACUGUUAGUUGCUACGCAAGAGCACUCUAGCAGGACUGCCGUUGACAAAACGGAGGAAGGUGGGGAUGACGUCAAAUCAUCAUGCCCCUUAUGACCUGGGCCUCACACGUACUACAAUGGCUGUCAACAGAGGGAUGCAAAGCCGCGAGGUGGAGCGAACCCCUAAAAGCAGUCUUAGUUCGGAUUGUAGGCUGCAACCCGCCUACAUGAAGUCGGAAUUGCUAGUAAUCGCAGAUCAGCAUGCUGCGGUGAAUACGUUCCCGGGCCUUGUACACACCGCCCGUCACGCCAUGGGAGUCGGUAACACCCGAAGCCAGUAGUCUAACCGCAAGGAGGACGCAGUCGAAGGUGGGAUUGAUGACUGG
rnacentral:rRNA from 1 species